GCAGACAUUUCGAUUAUUGAAAUUUGCCCAUUUUGCUUGAGAAGCAAGACGGGCAGACAUUUCGAUUAUUGAAAGCCUCCAACAAUGUUAUUGUUAGUGAAUGGAAGUAACGUUGAAUUGCUGUGCCUCUUAUUGCAUGUUAUUGAGUAAGACCUUUAUGGUAUCUGGAUUAAUUAGUCAUGAAGUCACUCUGGUUGCAGUGGUUUCAAUUAGAUCAAUAGUUCAAUGUUUAGUGUGACUGUGCAAACCAUGGACUAUGCAACCGAGUUAAAGAUGAAUUUGGGAUAAGCUUAUUACUUGUGGCAAUGUGUUGAGAGUGAAAAAAGAGAAAGUGAAAGUUGAUAUUUGAUGAUUACGCAAAAAAGGAACCAUAUUUGCUGUCACUUCAUAUAUUCAUAUUAGUAGAAGACUGGCAUGGACAUUCCUUGAACCCUUCUUUUGAAAUUCAUUGAGCUAUUAGUAAAGAUAAGAGAUGCAUUUAGUGUUCUUGAACACACGGCAGGAUCCUCGUUAGUUCUAUAUGGCAACUGGCAAACAAGGUUUAGUGCAUUGUGUGAGAGAGAAAGAGGUUCCAAUCUGAAGGAAGUUCAUGUUUUCCUGUUCCUUAACCUUUUUUCCCUUAAUUUACAUAAUAGUUAAUGUGACUUGUCACAAAUAAAAUUGGAUUUCUUGUGAAGGAUGCACGGUGGUUCUUCACUAGUUGCGUGUUGGUUUCUUUUAUUCUCCGUCUGCAAGUUAGAGAGCAUAAGAACUUCGAGAUGGUUUGCAGUGUGGCUGUUAACUGAAAGUAUCUCAGAAUAUCCAAUCCAG
rnacentral:misc_RNA from 1 species